AAAAAUAUCCUCAAAGGUAUGAGAUAAUAAGGCCAUAGCAGUGUUUUCAAUGCAGCUUCCAAGUUAAGCAUUAUUAUGUGGAUGUAGCUCUAUCUGUACCAACAGAGCUAUAAAUUCAUUCAUUUGGGGAUGAGUAGUCUUGAUGUAUAAUUAAUCUCUCAUUCCUUCUGACAGUACUUUUUUUCAAAGUUGAAAAGUAAGUUGCUUUGUUACUUCUGGGACAUGAAAGUAUCAUGCAGUUUCAAUUACUGUCUUAAGGAUGAAGAAUACUGCAAGCUGCUCCAGAUCCUACUGAAGGGAAUGAAGGUUUAGGAACUUUACCCGAGAACUAUAGUUAUUAGGGAAAAGGAUAACCAGAAGGUCCAGAACUGUCAAGAAUUCCAUCAUCAGCUGGGAAUUUACAAAUCCAAAUCAGCAGAGAAGUGCAAUACCAGAUAGGGACAAAUGUUUUAUUCCAGUUCUGUGGGAGAGAAAAGGCCAGCUUCUGUUGUGUACCCAGAGUAUAGAGCUUCAAAACAAAAUCAGAAAACACUAUUUUAAAAACUAAUUUUCCAAAAAUCAUGAGAUCUCUACUUAAAAACACAGGCAGCCUAAAGCUUUCUGUGCACAUUAAACUCAUCUGCUUCAUUUAUCUGAUUUCUAAUCAAUUUGCUGGUAUUGUUGUAACUUCAUGCUUUCAUACCUUGGUGUUUGUUGGUGGGAUCUGCAGCCCAGUGGCAGCCGACUCGCUCUCCUCUCCCUCACCAAUGCCCCUGAGUCGAAAUAAUCUGCUACCACCUAUUGGCACAGCUGAAGUGGAACAUGUGAGCACUGUGGGGCCACAAAGACAGAUGGUAUGUUUCUUUCAUAUUGCCUCUCCAUGUACUUACCAUACAACCUCAUGGGCAGUAAUUCUGCAGGAUCUGUGCCCUGAUCUUGAUUUAUACUGUGUUUUGUCAAAAGUACAAAUAGAGUGCUAAUUUAUGACGUGGAAUUGGAGCUGUUUGGCCUGCACUUACCAUAUCUGCCAUGGUCGAUGGGGUUUUAACUACAUACCACACUACAGAUAUAGUUUUCACUGUUUCUGUAACUUUUGUCUCCUCUGCAGACACCCCAUGGCGACUCUAGUCGAGCUCAAAGUGCGGUGGUGGAUGAACCUAACUAUCAGCAGCCACAAGAAAGGCUCCUUUUGCCCGACUUUUUCCCCAGGCCCAACACAACUCAAUCAUUUUUGCUGGAUACACAGUAUCAUCGCUCAUGUGCAGUUGAGUAUCCUCAUCAGGCCCGACCUGGUAGGGGAUCUGCAGGUCCUCAGUUACAUGGGUCUACAAAAUCUCAAAGCAGAGGCAGACCAGUCGCUCGAACCAGGCAGGGACCAUAAGGCAAAUGAGAAGAAUCUAUCAGGCUGCAGGAAACAUGAGAUUUCAUGAAGCAAUAUUCAGUCAUCAAGUGAUGCAGAGCUUGUAUAGAAGAUCGACUAGAAAUCAUCUUCAUGAAGAGUGAUUUUGGCACAAGUGACUGAAGAACAAAACACCAUAGCGGCCAAAAAUGACAUGAGUGUUGUUUCUAUCUCCAGUUACUGUCUCUUUCAGCAGAAAUUAACCUAUUCCAUUGGAAAGGAAAGUUUGUACCCAAAGAUGCAACAAUGAAUAAUACCCAAAUCACUGCUCAUGCUGUCUCUUAACAAUGAUCAGUUCAAUCAUAUAGGAUUUGAUGAGCUCACACAUACACAAAAAGCAGCAAAUCAUCAGUGAUAACAUCACUGGCUUCAGAAUACUUCAGCUUGUGUUCAUUUCUGGAGAGCUGUACUCAGUUUUAAGUCAUUUUGCUGGUGAAAAUCUGACCUCAUCAAAUAGAUGUCAUUCCUAAAACUCUCUUUAGAUGUCCUACCCUAUCAGCAGAUUAAAAUGGAAGGGGUGUGUAACUAAAAACAUAAAUGUUAAGCAUUAGUGUAAAGUAACUUCUGUAAUAAAUUAUAUCGCAUAUUUUUUCAGAUAGGACAGCUCAACCUUACGAUGCCCUACCUGAUGCCAGGUUAUGCUUAUUUUCUUCCUAAAAUAGGUUACUGGUCAUAUCUUUUUUCCAAAUAUUAAAUGCACCUUGCCAGAUAUUCUCCUGCAGCUCUAAGGAAAGGAAAUCAAUUUAAAAAUAAUUUGUAGAAUCUACUAUUGAGGCACCAAAGUAUAAUUCCCUAAAAGUUUAAGAAACCCUGGCAAUUAAUUCAGCAUAAACAUAUCCUAUAAACAGCAGGAGAGGUUCAGCUUUCUGAUUUUACUGUGGACCUUUUCCUAAGAACAUUCAGGAAUGCAGCAACAGUUUUAACUAUGGCUUAAAUUUAUUUUAAAUUUCACUAAAUACAAAUCUUGACUGUCAUGCCAGUUUUAGAUCUUAUUAAUUUUCAGAAUGGAUAAAUUCAAAUAAUCAUAAAUUAUGUUAACUUUUUAUUAUACCAAGGUGUUCUAAUGCCAUCAUAUGAAGACAGAUACUUCAAACAACCUGCAUUAAAUUAUAUUUUUAAUACAAUUAACAACUAUUUUUAACCUA
rnacentral:sRNA from 1 species